rnacentral:rRNA from 1 species
UACGAGGGGGGCAAAUGUUGUUCGGAAUCACUGGGCGUAAAGGGAGCGUAGGCGGGUUUCUAAGGCAGGUGUUUAAUCCCGGGGCCCAACCCCGGACAGGCACUUGAAACUGGGAAUCUUGAAUAGUGGAGAGGUCAGUGGAAUUGGGGGUGUAGCGGUGGAAUGCGUAGAGAUCCCCAAGAACACCAGUUGCGAAGGCGGCUGACUGGACACAUAUUGACGCUGAGGCUCGAAAGCAUGGGGAGCAAACAGG